rnacentral:rRNA from 1 species
CAGUCGCCGCGGGAAUACGAAGGGGGCUAGCGUUGUUCGGAAUCACUGGGCGUAAAGCGCACGUAGGCGGAUACUUAAGUCAGGGGUGAAAUCCCGGGGCUCAACCUCGGAACUGCCUUUGAUACUGGGUAUCUUGAGUCCGGGAGAGGUUGGUGGAACUCCGAGUGUAGAGGUGAAAUUCGUAGAUAUUCGGAAGAACACCAGUGGCGAAGGCGGCCAACUGGCCCGGUACUGACGCUGAGGUGCGAAAGCGUGGGGAGCAAACAGGAUUAGAUACCCGCGUAGUCCCUGUCUCUUAUAA